CCCACUGUCCAUUUUCAAAUUAAUGUAAAAGGUUUUUAAAAGCUCAGGCACAAAUUGUUGAACAGUCUUAAUCACGUUUAUUAUCAUCACUCCCUCAUGAUCUCACAACGGUUGAACUUAACCAUCAGCUGAAAAACUGCAGCCCUUGGUAGCUGCUCAGCUGUUGUAAAUAAUGAGUGGUUCAUUUUAUGAGCUUUAAGUUUGAGGCAGUAGCCUAAAAUUGACUGUGUGUUUGAUUUUUCAGCUAGGAUAAGCGUAACCCCUAUUUUUGUGCAAGUGCUUUAAAAAUAGCUGCAGUGUGUGGAAAAAAUAGUGGGUCUUGUUGCUGUUGGGAGUUUGUUGGCUUUUAGUUUUGAAGGUUUAAUAAUUUCCUGCAGAAAGAUCCCUGCUUUAACAGUACUGCCCAUUGUGUGAUAGUGCUGUGCUGUCUUGAGAGAUUGCAGUGCUGAUGCUGAGUAGGCUGCUUUGUAUAUGGUGCAGUACAGUACUGUGCAAAGUGAAUCCUGGAAGUCAUCUAAUCAUGAAGAUAGUGGAGCUCGCAGGACUGAGAACAUUGACUUGUCUUCUUCUACCUUGCUCCAGGGCCAGCCUGGGCACUGCCGCACACCACUACUCAGUAGAGUCUAAACCUUGCCUAGAAGCUUCAUCUUGCAUGCAUUUUGAUCCUAUAAAUGGAAAUGAAAACAUUUUCCAGUCCUGCCUGUUGCAACUCAUGCCUCUAGAAGAGAGGAAAGAUCCACAAGGCUAAAACGGGAAUAGAGAAGGGAGCACAAUUCUCUGCUUCACUGUUACAAAUGGGAGUUUCCUGAGAUGACCGCAGGACUCAUAAUCAAGCUUGAGGUGAAGGCUGACCACCUUCCUGCCAAAGAGGAGCGAGUUUGGUUCCCUGCUUGUAUUAUGAUUUGAAAGCAUGUGAUGGAGCAGGGUGCCACCUCCAGCUGUACGUGAAUGGCAAGUGGAGGCCUAUCCCUCUUGUGAUUCUUCAGAAACAGGUGCUCUUCAGUCCCUUGCACAUACACAUGUUUUUCUGUAGACAGCGAUCUUGAUAUAAAGUGCAAAUUAAAACAGAGACAUACUCAACAAGGCUGAACUUCUCAUAUUUCAGCUUUGUGUUACCCCCAACCUCACAGCAUGUGGCAGCGGAGGUAACCCCAUCACCUCAUCUUCCUCCUGAAGGAUGAGGGUUCAAGUAGGUUUUUACCAGGUCUUUAUGAUGAGAAACCUGGGGUGAGACUGACUGAAGCUGCAAAAUCUCAUUCUCUGGGUUUUGAUUUGGUACAAUCAAAAUAUUGGAAUAACUGGCACAAAUAUUCCUUUGGAUUCCAUAAAUGACUUGAUUUCAUUUUGCAAAUCAUAAAACCUUUUUAGCAUUUUACUCCAAUUUAGCCAUUGGCUUCUGGCUUCAAAAAAGUAAAUUAUGUCCACGUAAUCAGUAUCCAUACUUCUAAGGAACUGCUGGAAUUAACAAUGAUUCAAUCCCUUGGACUUUAUGAAAUUCACAGCUUUGUCAAUUUAUCAUAGAAUCAUUAAGAUUGGAAAAGAGCUCUAAGGUCAUCUAGUCUAACUGUGCACCUAUCACCAAUGUUCCCCACUAAACCAUAUUCAUUAAUACAACAUCUGAAUGUUUCUUGAACGCUUCCAGGGAUGGUUGCUCUACCACUUCACUGGGCAACCAGAUCCAGUGCUUGACCACUCUUUUGGAGAAGAAAUUUUUCCUAAUAUCCAACCAGAACCUCCCCUGGCACAACUUGAGGCCAUUCCCUCUCAUCCUAUUGCUAGUUACUAGGGAGGAGAGGCUGACUCCCAGGUCCUUUUCGUCUGUACAGUCUGUAGCGUUCCCUGGGUUUGUUGUGAUCGAAGUGCAGCACCCAGCACUUGGUCUUGUUGGACUUCAUCCCAUUGGCCAGCUAUCCAGCCUGUCUGGAUCCCUCUGAAGGGCCUUUGUACCCUCAGGCAGAUCGACACCUCCUCCCAGAUCAGCGUCAUCUGGGAACUUACGGGGUCCCAGUGCUCUCAUCCAGGUCAUCAAUGAAGAUAUUAAACAAGACAGGCCCCAGUACUGAUCCCUGGGGAACACCGCUUGUGACCGGUUGCCAGCUGGAUUUAAUUGCGUGCACCACCACUCUCUGGGCCUGGCCCUCCAGCCAGUUCUUUACCCAGCAGAGUGUACCUGUCCAAUUUUUCGCAUGACGUUAUUUGCAUGAUGUUAUCCAUUUUUAAGGCUUUCUCACAUAAAUUUUCUUGAUGUACAAUGCAGCGAUAUUUCAUCAAACAUGAGUUGCCAUUGGCAAUUGCACUGUCUUCUGUUAAUUUUAUAAGUUCCUCUUUUCACCAACUAUUGCUGGGGUGCAGUCAGUAUCUAUACCAGAUAUUCUGACAUGAUAUGUUUUGAUGUGACUGAGCGCACGCUAUAGGCAUGAGGACAUACUUAACAGUGCACUGUGCCUCCCCAUGUCCCAGGGCCAGGCUGAGCCACUCAGUGUGGCAGAGAUGCCACCAUGAUGGGAAGGGGGCAGCCACACUACGAGCUGUGCCAAGCUGUGGGUUGGACAUGCUUGCUCUUAGUUUUUACAGAAGUAGAAACUUGGCUUUGGACAUCAAAUGACUUUGUCCUGAGGCCACGCUAAAAGCUAGCCCACAGAUUGUUUCCCUCUGUGCUGUUUCCCAGUAUGCCUCAAUUUGGAGGCAGAGAUAUUUCCUCACCCAGGGAGGAUGCAUCAAGUUCACCCCUGGUUUCCUUGGUUGCUUCACCGAGCUUGCAGACCCAGGUUAUGUUGUAGCACCUGUUGUGAUUGUGCUUGUUUUGUAGGAUGUAUUUAUACCUCAGAUACUGGGUGGCACUACUCACUAGUUAUGGUUCUCACAAAUUUAGAAAGCUUGCAGUUUGUUGUCAAAGGGUGAUGUGCAGAUGUGAGAAGAUGUUUGUAAUGCUUAGACCAGCCUCCAGGUGGAAGGGGGGUUUAUAAUGGCAAGCAGGGAACAGAAGAUGCUGGGCUGAGAUGAAAGAAACUAGGGAAACUGUUGGGACCAUGUUUCCUCUGAUUCUUAUUUCAAAGCCAGUCAGAAUCUAGAGCCAAAGGCAAGAACCUGUUUGCUAUUUUCAGUGGCUUAAUAAGGCUGAGACCGUCAGCCACAAGAAACUGUACUGCUCACAAUAUCCUGUGCUUUUGGUAAAGAAGGUCAGUGGGGCAUAUCCUGCGUGCAGUGGCUUUGUUUCUUGGCAGGGGUUGGUCAGGUGGAUGGACUCCAGCACUUUACCAUCAGUGUCUAGAACUUCAUUUGGCCUCACUUCUUUGUCCUCAGCCUCACAAGACCUAGAGCGGGCUCCUUUAGAAACGGUAGUGAAUGUAUUCAAAGAUGUGCACUGAUGCAGAAGUUUUUGUAAACCCAUGAAAAAGAAGGAAAAUAGCAGAGAGCACUCCCAUCGCUCUAUUUUUAUCCUACCUGACAUUGCACAUAGAAGGAUACUGAAUUCAGCAAACAUCCAUUUUAAACACCUAGCCAUUGCCUGGGAUAGCUGCGUUGACUUCUGCUGCUUUGCUGCAGGCAGCCUGUGUGACCUUUGGAAUUCGCUGCUACCAGUGACAUCAAGGCUCAAAGUACUCCGCAUUUCAAAGGCCUUUUUUGGAGAGUAAUUGCUUGACUGUUAUGGUAUAAGGAACCAUAAAGUGCAAAAAGAAAAGGGGCACUAGAUGUUUGUGAUACUCUACUGGUUUUCCAGGGGAAGCAGCACAUAUGGAGAGUUAAUAAUUGCCAAAAAUGUAAUUAUUUUCAAGCUAGAGGCUACACUUAUGAACCAUGUAUAGAGUAGAUGGCUAAUGCCAUACCAAUGUAAAGAAAUUGAUUUCAUAGCCAGGAAUAGGAUGGGAUGGAAAGUACUUGCCAAUUUGCUAAUGAGUGUGUUAUACCACGUGUUAUAUCAUGUGUUAAAGCCAUGAAAAUGAAUGUUAGAUAACACUGGAGUGGCUGGACUUCAAGCUGAAGCUGCUGGUUCUUGUUACCUGCUGAGGAACACUGCAGCCUUAAAGUAAUCAUGCAAGCACAGAAUCACAGAAUGGCUUGGGUUGGAAGGGACCUUAAAACCCACCCAGUUCCAACCCUCUGCCAUGGGCAGGGCUGCCACCCACUAGCUCAGGCUGCCCAGAGCCCCAUCCAACCUGGCCCUGAACACCUCCAGGGAUGGGACAUUCACAGGUCCUCUGGGCAGCCUGUGCCUCUCUGCCCUCUGAGUGAAGAAUUUCCUCCUGACAUUUAAUCUAAAUCUCCCUUCCUAAUGAUUUUCUUAGUAACUCUUCUAUAACUAUAGCAGAAUAAGCAUAAUGAACGAAACCUGAGCUGCACAUCAGAAACUGCACUUGCAAGCAGAAAUACAGUUUUUCAGCUUGAUUAAUUAAAGUAUAAUCAAUAGCCGGGACACAGCUGUUGACUAGGAAGUAAGCAUAUGGAGUUGGUCCGUGACUGUCUGAAGAAAAUACGAACUUGUGCGCACAUUAGCCAUACGCUUCUCUUACAGCAAUUGCUGUUUAUAUUUAAAUCUUGUCAGAUUGAGAGUAAGCCUAACUGUGACUUGAUGUUUUUAAGGUUUUGGAGAAAAUGGCAAGUGAAGAUGUGCAUUGUGCUAAAAGCGAGCAUAGUGCAGUGCUGCUAUCUAUAGUAUUUCCUGUCUCACAAUAGUCUACCCAGCUGCCUUCUAUAUAGCUGCGUGCUCAGUCCCGAGUAAUGAUGCACAGAAGAUGUAAUUCUGCAGUGUAGCACAGUGCCAAUGACAGCUGGGGAUUCACUACUCCUGCACAUUAAUGAAGGCUACAGAGGUCUCUCAGAUCCAUCGGAGAUGCACACAGCCAGUUACUGAGCUGAGCAGUGCCGUCGCUGAAAGUCACCCCAUGUAUGCAAAAGACAAAGACAGCACUCACAUCAAGCCAGAAGGGAGUGUUUUGGUUUCUCUGAAAUUCUUCAAAACGCUGGUCCCAAUUACUAGAAAGCACAUGGGAGCAGCUAUGGCAGAAUUCACUCAUUUGCUUCUCUGUCUUGUGUGAGUAACACAGGCAGGGAAUUCACAAGGAACUGCUCUGAUUCAAGUGCAGCUCCAGCUUCAGAAAAGGAGGUGCAGCAGGACCUGAAACCAACAUCUGCUCCUUCUCAGAGCCUCUUCCACUGCUUCCCAUCUUUUUUCUUUUAAAUUAGAUAUGUUCUUUGUUCUUUCUGACUUUCCGAAAGGUUGGUUAUGGCACAGAGCAGCCCCCCAGUACGGUCCUCUCUUCUGGUCAAAAAUCAGUGUGCUGUGAAGAGGAGGGCUUGCCACUGCUCACCUUAUCAAAAGUGCCUCCUUCUCCCCGUGUAGCAGCAUCUCUCAGCAAGGGGUGAGCAUCCCAAAAUAAAUGCCUCUUGAGGGUCAGGUUGUUCCAUCUACUGUUUCACCAGAAAGUUUUCAAACUUUGUCUUGGCCUUACGAUAAAUAUCGGCCAGACCAAAUAAGUCAGGAAACUCCUGCCCGAUUACACGCUUCCCAUGGCCAGGGCCAUCCCUGUGCCCACACACGGGCAUAGCCAGCCCAGCUUACUUGCCAGUGGUGCCUUGCCACACCGUUUGGGGGGCACUGUGCACAGCAUGAUGUGCUGAGAUGUUGUCUUAUGUUAGAUGAGAAAAUACACCGUAGUUUGCCGUCUGACAAAAUCCAGAUUAUUUACACCACGAGUGGAUGUGUGGGAGCUUGCUUACCACAGGCUUCCUUCUCUUGCUACAGCUCAUUUCCUUUGUUCUAUAUGGCUCUUUCUGACAUGAGUUGGAAACAAAAGAAAAUUGCUCCUUUUUGAGUCAUCCCAGAAAUGAUGCUUUAUACGAGCGGAUGCUGAAUUUUCUGCCUUCCGGACUCCUUGUCUGCUAUUCUAAGCUUAGAAGCUGUACCUUUCUUUUGAAACAUCACUGGGAUGAUCCAAGGAAAGCAGAUAGUUUCCUUCAUCAUGUGAACGUUAUGUUAAAUGAAUUACAUGAGUCAGAGCUGGGAAAAAAAAAAAAAAACACCACAGUGUAUUUAUUGUUCAUUAAAAAUUCCUUGUCGUGAGGGGCAUCUAAGAUGAUCUAAAAGCUAACCAUACGCUGAGCCUGAUCCCCAGGUCGCAUACAUCAGCAUGGCCACAUGCAAUCACUGCAGUGACACCAUCUUCCUCAGCAUCAGCCCUGAUGUAUCAGCAUGUACAUCUGUGAUUUAAUGGACAAGUAAACACACAGAGCCAGGUAAGUGCCCAAUGAGUGCAUGUGCAGCAAAACAAGUCAUCCCAAACAAAGUUUAUGCUAGCUUAAGUUCAGAAACAUCCUCUCCAGAUCUGCCUGCUUUGGCUGCUAAUGCUUGCUUUAAAUGUCAUUCUGUGCUGUUUUGACAUUUCCCCCACCCCUGCAAGCUACAGAGCUUGUCUAAGAAGCUGGAGGGGCUUUUUUCAUGAAGUGGGAGCAUUCAAGCAGAUAGGCAGAAGAGCUGCAGGGCACCAACAAAUAAAUGAUACCAGCCCUCACUGAACAUAAUGUGGAGGCAAAUUUCAGCUGUCAGACAGAUGUGCUUGCUCCUCCUGCUCCAUCAGAGGAUGUACCUUAGAAAGAUACCACGACACAGCUCUGUGGUGUCCUGUUCUUGCCUCCACAAGAUGCUUAUGUAGUUUUAAACAGAAAGUGAAUAUCUAUGACAGGUUACAGCAAAGGAUGGAGGAUAAAGACAAGGAAAAAAUGACUGCAGAUUGCCAUUGCUUAACUUGGCAUUUUGCAAAUAGGUCAGAAUGGUGGAGGCAGAGGGUUUAGAGUGUGCCUGAGUGAAAUCUGCUGUCCCUUUCCUACCAAAUAAUAGAGCGCUCAACUACACUUCUCCCCACAGACUUUGCAGCCGUGGCAAACUAUCAGGCUGUGGUAGGCGUUUCAUUCCUAGAGAAUCAGCUGCACAAUCUGGUCACCUGGGACUCCAAAACCCACAGGUCAGUGAUUUAGACAGCUGGAAGGUUUGGUGGUCUCCAUGUCACCGGCGAAACUGCUUUCCUCACUUAGCAGCUCACCACAUUCCCCGGUGUUCUGCAUCGUCAGAUUAGCUGGUGUGAAAUUGACAGGUUUCUCCUGUACAUCUUGAUCUGCUGGAAGAGAUUGCUGCUCCAGGUGCUGUUAGCUAAGUGUCCUGCCUCUACUGUUUCAUGUCCCCAAACACCUCUUCUUGGUAAGGAUUUAUUUCUGGUUUGUGUUCAAAACGACACCAUCCUCACCUCAGGUCCUUCCCUUCACGCUGCCCUGAUGGAAGAGUGCAGCACACUGGCCCAGGCUCUGUGAGGGAUGAUGAUGUGCAUAGGAAAACACUUCGCACAGCAUCUGUUGGAGGAAUGGUGCACAUUCCUCAGAGAUGCAUGUAAGCACAUCUCCUGCUCUGGAAGUGCCCUAAGCCUUGUUCUCCCUAUUCAUUUCCUGCCAGGCUAUCUCCUCUCCUCGUGCUCCCAUGCGGCUACAGGUGGUGGAGUUUCCUCCAAUCAUUUUCACGGUAAUAUUUUAUUGAUGCCAGAAGCUGAAGUCAUCAUAAACAGAGAUUAUUCCCACCUGUGAAAUUCCAAAAGGCACUGGCAGAUGUGCUUUGUCUAGCUUGGGCUAGCUGCUUCCCCACCUAAAGCAAAUUCUCACUUAAACAAAUCUUGAAACUCAGGGCACAGGAGGGGCACGAGCUCAGAGCAGAAUGGGAAUUUACUCCCAGCACCCAGUUUGGAAAUGCCACUGCUACGCUACGGGUUGGAUGAGACAAAAUUUUUGCAGCUGCCUAAACUCAUCUUGGUUGAAGUCACGGGGGUCUAUGUCAGUCUCCCCAGAUGCCUUUGAUGUUUGUCUCCUAGUUAAUGCGGGAGCAAUCAGCUGCAUAAUUUUUAUGAAAAGCAGGAGUACAGCUUGCCUUAAUAUUCUCCUAUGUAAAAUAAGAUAUAUUUAAUUUAAAAAUACCACCACAUACAUAAUGCGGCUUUGAUAGCUGACAGCUCGUACUGAUCACUGUAGGCAGUAGGGGUCCUGUGGGCUAAAUGAUGACGGAGGACAUGAAAGCCCUAUGAUUUUUAAGUCCUUUUUUUUUCCAUUAUACUUUAUAAUAAGAAAUGCAGAACAGAUUUUGUUUGGCCUUACCAAAAUGCUCCGAUGAUCUCCUGUCGUCAGAGUGGGGAUGUGGGCCUCCUGCACUGUUAGAUAAAAUCGGCCAUGACUUCCUUGCAAUUAGUAUGUUCCCAGCAGCUCCUUAAUAAAUGCCAAGUGCUGCCCUUCCAGCUCACAAUGGGGAGGAUAAAUGGCGCUGGGCUGGAGGACUGUAAAGAAGAGAUGCUUGCUUCUUCUGCACAUCUCUGACCUUGACUAAAACCUUGCUCAAGUUGCUCUUUUUUCUCGGCCUUACCAAUAAUGUGGCAGCAAGGUUGGCUGGGGCCAGCCACUGUGAGCCAGGUGAGGCAAAGCCCUAGGCAGCUGCGUGCAGUAGAGCUUGGAUAGAAGUUGGGCCCCAAAACAUCCACUGACUGAACUGUUGCUCAGCACCAUUCAGCUCAGGGCCAGCCUCAGCAGAUGUACAGGUCCCUGCUGGGAGGGACAAUGGAAGCACUAGCAGGGGGGUGAAGAAAAGAGGCUGGAUGAUGGCCAACACGGCAGUACCUGAGCCUAGGGCUCUGCAGGGAAAGUGGCACUCCUGAAACCUUCUCUGGUGUCUUUCUGGGUGAUUUCGGUGCCUACAGUGGCAGUCACAAGCACCUCUGGUGUAAUCAGAGGCUUUUGCCCUGUGCAUGCCCUUCCUGCCUUGGGGCCUCCUCUUCAGCAGUGUCGGUGCAUCACCUGUGCUGGGCCUCAAGUCAAGGGUUUGUCCAUGAACUGACUCCAGUGGGCUGGCAGGCCCUGGCCCAGCCACACAUGGCCAAACGUUAUGCCUGAGGGCACCAUCCAGGCCCCACAUCCUGGGGUGUCAUUUUGAUGCCAUCCUUAGGCUUUGGCCUGGUGGUGCCAAGGGAUGGUUGUGCCUCUGCCCAGCCCUGUCUCAGCUCAGCUCACAGCCUCGCCUCAGGGCUAAGCAAUGUCAGGAGCUUUGAGCUGUCCCUUAUGUUAAUUUUCAGGGUCACUGGAGUGGAAAGUUUUUUUCUGUUCAUUUGGUGCUUUUUUGCCAGCCUGUUGGUCAGCAAGCCCUCUGAGGAGGCUUCACAGGCAGAGGUGCUGCAAAGGCCCAGGUGGCUGGCAGCACUGCUGUGCCCUCAGGUGCUGCUGUGCACACCAGUGGGGUACUUCAUUAAUUUACUGUAGCAACAGAAGAGAUCACCACGAUGGGAAAGGCGUUACAAAAGAGGUGUUUGACGGAAGAACCAGCAUGAUAGAAAGGUGCUAUAAAGGAAGGGAAGAUUCAGGCCAGGGGAGAUUCAGGCUCAAUGUUAGGAAAUACUACUUUUCUGAAAGAGUGAUCAGGCACUGGAAUGGGCUGCCCAGGGAGGUGGUGGAGUCA